GUGCGUGAUUUUGAUCGGCUGUCUUUGACAGC
rnacentral:scRNA from 1 species